UACGUAGGGUGCAAGCGUUAAUCGGAAUUACUGGGCGUAAAGCGUGCGCAGGCGGUUGUGCAAGACCGAUGUGAAAGCCCCGGGCUCAACCUGGGAACGGCAUUGGUGACUGCACGGCUAGAGUGUGUCAGAGGGGGGUAGAAUUCCACGUGUAGCAGUGAAAUGCGUAGAGAUGUGGAGGAAUACCGAUGGCGAAGGCAGCCCCCUGGGAUGACACUGACGCUCAUGCACGAAAGCGUGGGGAGCAAACAGG
rnacentral:rRNA from 1 species